GCAGCAUCGGCCGCUCGUGCACCAGCGCCUCUCACGUCGGCACGUCGCUUCGUCUAUUCUCGUCUGCUGUGCGAAUCCGCUCCGUUUCGCGCGAGAAUGCGACAGGACAAAUUGCAGUUGCGAUUGCGCCAACUCGCGUUGGCGCAUACUAGGUGACUCACGAUUAACGCACGUAUCUUAUCGACUCUGCCCCCGCAACGGCUCGCAAUGUUUUCAAUCGAGACUUCGAGACACGUGCAACGUCGUGUAAGCCGGAUUAAUUAGCGUCAUCGAGGCUAUUCUUAUCUCGAGGACCACCUGAAACUAUUUGCUCCGUGUCCCGUACAUACGUGAGGCGAACUUGACAAGAGAAGAAUUGAGAAGUUUUAAAGAAUGUGUUAUGAAACAAAGUUGCAAGAACAUCUUCCUCGAGAGCACUUUGGUCGCUUCAAUCCAACUUCAAGAGGUCUCUCGUAACAGAUUUUAUUUUCAACAAGUUACAUCCCUCGCAACGUACAAUAUGUAUUUCUCGAACAUUAUAUAGUAUGUGCCAGCAUUUGGAGCUAUACAAGCGCUAUUUUCCUAUGUAAUCAAUAUACAGGCCAUUUAUUAAUAAAAGUGAGCACGGCUGCUCUACAUUGACAAGAC